CAUCAUCUAAGAAUCCUCCAUCCCCUUUCCCCUUGGAUGACCAGCUCCUGUUUCAGCUUGUCUACACAGUUGAUAGAGGACCUAUGCCUAGAGUUAGCAGGCUCCUGGAGCCCCAACACAGGUAUUUGGAGCCCAGAGGCUGCUCUGCACGCCAUUCAUCCACGAGUGUUUCUUUUCCAGUCAGUACCAAAACAGACUGAGCCUACAUUGCCUCAUCUCAUUACAUGUUCCGGACUGCUAACAACCACCCCACCCCCACAGCUGGAGGCUUUUUGACUUUUUUAAGUGCAUGCUCAAGUUUACGUAAGUAAAUCAAACAACAUGGCGAACUGGAUUACAUAAAUGCAAAUUAGAUCAGUAAGUGGAACCGUGCUACAGUCACUUCCUGCACAAAGCACUCUUCUCCAUUUCACUUGCCGAACGCCCAUUUUGUAACACUGAGGCGGCAGGAGCUGGGCAGGAGCGGCGGGGGAGGGGGCAGCGCCUCCGCCUCUUCCCGGGGAGGAUUGGCGGGAAGCGGCCAUCCCGCCCACCCGUUUGGCGGGACGCUUAAAGUGCGCUGGAGCAGCCGGGAACCCCUUGAGUUCCCGCUCGGCGCCGCCAUGUCUACCCCUGCCAAGCGGCACUGCCAGAGCCCCGCCGGCUCCCUCGAAUCCAGCUUCCAGAAGCGCCUCAGGAAGAUUUCCAUCGAGGGGAACAUCGCUGCGGGGAAGUCAACGUUUGUCAGGCUGCUGGAGAAACACAGCGAUGAGUGGGAGAUCAUCCCCGAGCCCAUCGCUAAGUGGUGCAACAUCAAGACGGCCGAGGAUGAGUAUGAGGAACCUUCAACAUCUCAGAAGAGUGGAGGAAACUUACUUCAAAUGCUGUAUGACAAACCCACAAGAUGGGCUUACACAUUUCAGACUUAUGCCUGCUUGAGCCGAGUAAAAGCACAAUUAAAACCUCUCUCAGCCAAGCUAUAUGAAGCAGAACAUCCAGUGCAAUUUUUUGAAAGAUCUGUGUACAGUGACAGAUAUGUGUUUGCUUCUAACCUGUUCGAGUCUGGAAACAUUAAUGAAACAGAAUGGUCCAUUUAUCAGGACUGGCACACAUGGCUUUUGAAUCAGUUUCAAUCAGAUAUAGAACUGGAUGGCAUGAUCUAUCUCAGAACCACACCUCAGAAAUGCAUGGAAAGGCUACAGAUGAGGGGAAGAAAAGAGGAGCAAGGAAUUGAGCUUGAGUAUUUGGAAAACCUCCACUAUAAACAUGAAACCUGGCUUCAUGAAAGGACUAUGAGGUAGGAAUCCAUUUUCUGUAGCAAGUUUCAACUUGCAGGCAAGGCUCUUUCCUACCAUAAAGCCUUAGUUUUACCAAGUUUAGGGCAAGUCUAGUUUCACUCAGGCAGCUGGAUACACUCAUAUUUGUACCCACUUCAGAUUUCAAGAGAUGUAACUUCAUCUAAUUUGAAACCUUUGUUAAGCAUUGGCUUCAACUAGAAAGUUUUACAGUUGUAACUCCAGCAAGGACAUGGAUUUUGCUAAUUGGAAGGACUGAGGAACAAGACACUUAAAAUGGUGGCCAGGGAACAAUCACAUACAUUUCUCACCACACAGCUUCUGUUGCAAUGUAAGGGGCAAACAAGGCCCCUGCUACCUUUAAACUAGCAGGACUGCAUUUCAACAAAGUUUAAAUAUUAAUCCUAACUUAAAUUUAAAACAAUAAUCAGAAAGGCUUUUGGCAGACCUGCUACACACAAGAAACCUAAUUAGCAACUGAGUGAUGUCUGCACACCUUCCUUUGAGUUCCUUACUGACUCUUACUGAAGAACCUCUGAAUAUGAAAACAGACUCGAGAUUUUUCCCUAGAGGAGUCCAAAAUAUUCUACUGAAGGGGAAGCAUUACAAUUCCAGGAAAGGUACAUUAUCAGUUUAAUCUACUUGCUGAAGUUUCACAUAGGAUGACCCAAGUGUUUAGGAGACAGAAGGCAGUGCAUAGUGUGGAAUUUUGGGAAUGUUUACGUUGUGUACUCACUUCCUGAGUUUGGAAUAGGAACUGAAGCGUGCAAGCAAAAGUUAGAAUGUUGUUGAGCACACAAACUGCAUUUUAGAAAUGCCUUCUACGCUCAGAAAAACUAACUACUGCUCCCAUCUGUUCCCAAACUGAAGCCAAAAUGGUCUUAUAAUAAUAAUGACUGGUUAUAAAUACCAGUCUUAUAACCUGUUAAAGAGGUCAUCCUUAUGAAAGGAAGCUUUAAAAUUGCAUCUCGGUCAAGUCAUUCCUGACUUCUUUAGAAGAUGAAAAUUAAUUCGAAUAACAAGUCCCUGAAGUUGACUCAACAAUCUGUGUGUUUAAAAAUUUACUUAAAACAAAAUGCAUUACCUAUAUAGCUUAUUUUUAAAGCAAGCCCGAAAUGCAACAACAUGAUUUGGAGUUGAUUUUUAUCUUUUUAUGAGCAGUGUGGCUUUUGAUAAACUUUUUUGUAUAACUAAAAAGAACAAAUAUGGGGUGCUUUGAUAGUGGUUGUUUUUUUCUGUAUAUUCUCUGUUGUUUAAUAAAGAUUUAAAAGUAAUAUUGCCUCUCGAGUGACUGUCCCCACGGGGGAGCUCAGCGAGAGGCCGACACCCAGCAAACAGAUAGCAGGCGCUGAGCAGGGCUGUUUUGCAAUAACUGGCACGAGUUCACCAUUUUAAGACGAGACUGUUAUGGCGUCCAGAAACCUUUACUUUCAACUUCUGCUUUACUGAGUGGCCGUUUCCACCGGAUUUACGCUACUUAAGGCUGGACGUUAGAC